ACCAUAAUUGAUCCAUCAUGAAUCAUCUUUUUAAUUUCUCUUUUCAAAUCUCGACAAUCUUCAAUACUAUGACCCUGAGCCUCAGAAUGAUACGCACAUCGUGUGUUAGGAUUAAAAUUUCUUGAACGCCGAUUAAGGGUGUGCCCAAGGAGAGGAGUGAUCAUUCUUUCCUAUACCAAUCUCUGAAAUAAACUGGCAU
rnacentral:lncRNA from 1 species